GUAGCUAUGUGUGGACGGGAUAAGUGCUGAAAGCAUCUAAGCAUGAAGCCCCCCUCAAGAUGAGAUUUCCCAACUUCGGUUAUAAGAUCCCUUAAAGAUGAUGAGGUUAAUAGGUUCGAGGUGGAAGCAUGGUGACAUGUGUAGCUGACGAAUACUAAUCGAUCGAAGACUUAAUCAAAA
rnacentral:rRNA from 1 species